rnacentral:misc_RNA from 1 species
GAUGAAGAACGCAGCGAAAUGCGAUAAGUAAUGUGAAUUGCAGAAUUCAGUGAAUCAUCGAAUCUUUGAACGCACAUUGCGCCCAUUAGUAUUCUAGUGGGCAUGCCUGUUCGAGCGUCAUUAAGUCCACUUAAGCCCUGCUUAGUGUUGGGAGACUGCUCCAGCGGUGCUACCCUGUAGCUACCCUGCAGCUCCUCAAAGACAGCGGCGGAGUUGUGGUAUCCUCUGAGCUUAGUAACUUGUUCUAGCUUUCGAGUACACCACUUCCCCUGCCGUAAAACCCUUAAUUUUUAAUGGUUGACCUCGGAUCAGGUAGGAAUACCUGCUGAACUUAAGCAUAUCAAUAAGCGGAGGA